rnacentral:rRNA from 1 species
AGAGUUUGAUCAUGGCUCGAGGAUGAACGCUAGCGGGAGGCCUAACACAUGCAAGCCGAGCGUAGAGAUUCUUCGGGAUCUUGAGAGCGGCGUACGGGUGCGGAACACGUGUGCAACCUACCUUUAUCUGGAGGAUAGCCUUUCGAAAGGAAGAUUAAUACUCCAUAAUAUAUUGAUUGGCAUCGAUUGAUAUUGAAAGCUCCGGCGGAUAGAGAUGGGCACGCGCAAGAUUAGCUAGUUGGUGAGGUAACGGCUCACCAAGGCGAUGAUCUUUAGGGGGCCUGAGAGGGUGAUCCCCCACACUGGUACUGAGACACGGACCAGACUCCUACGGGAGGCAGCAGUGAGGAAUAUUGGUCAAUGGGGGCAAGCCUGAACCAGCCAUCCCGCGUGAAGGACGACUGCCCUAUGGGUUGUAAACUUCUUUUGUAUAGGGAUAAACCUACCCUCGUGAGGGUAGCUGAAGGUACUAUACGAAUAAGCACCGGCUAACUCCGUG